rnacentral:misc_RNA from 1 species
CUCGAUCAGAGAAACUAACUUUUAUUUAUUCUACUUGUAAACCAUAUUAUACUUAUCUAUGAUUCUACUCUUCGAAACUAGUUAUUACUUUGUAUGAAGAAACUCUUGACAAAAAUUUAAAGCUGAAGGAACAUAGGAUCUUUCUACUGACUAAAUCAGACAUUAAUUUACUGAUUGAUGCUGACAGUACAAACGUUUCGAGAGACGAGUACGAAAUUAAAUGAGAACUAAAUUAAUUAUUGAAUCAAUGUGUGUAGAUCACAAUUAUUUAUUGAGAUAUUCAAUGGAUUUGUAAAGAAAUGUAAUUCUUUAAUUAAUAAAUAAUGAAAUAAAACAAAAAAAAAAAAAAAAA